AACAUGUGCGUCACGAGCCGGUCGCGGGACUGAUGACGUAAGAGCCGGCGCCCGGAGUCGCCAGUAGCCGGCGUGUUCCAGAGACGCGAGGAUGGCGUCUCGCGGCGGCAGACCGGAGCAUUGCGGCCCCGCCGAGCUGUUUUACGACGAGAAUGAAGCCCGGAAAUACGUUCGCAACUCGCGGAUGAUUGACAUCCAAACCAAGAUGGCUGGGCGGGCCUUGGAGCUGCUUUAUCUGCCUGAGGGUCAGCCCUGUUUUCUGUUGGACAUUGGCUGCGGCUCUGGGCUGAGUGGCGAUUACCUCUCAGAUGAGGGGCACUACUGGGUGGGCAUCGACAUCAGCCCCGCCAUGCUCGAUGCGGCCUUGGACCGAGAAACGCAGGGAGACCUGUUUCUGGGGGACAUGGGCCAGGGCAUCCCCUUCAAGCCAGGCUCCUUUGAUGGCUGCAUCAGCAUCUCUGCCGUCCAGUGGCUGUGCAAUUCUAACAAGAGGUCCGACGUCCCAGCCAAGCGCCUCUUCUGCUUCUUUUCCUCUCUCUACUCCGUGCUUGUGCGUGGAGCCCGGGCUGUCCUGCAGCUGUACCCUGAGAACUCAGAGCAGCUGGAGCUGAUCACGACGCAGGCCACGAGGGCCGGCUUCACUGGUGGUGUGGUGGUGGACUACCCCAACAGUACCAAAGCCAAGAAGUUUUACCUCUGUCUGUUUUCUGGGCCCGUGACGGUUCUGCCAAAGGGCCUGAGUGAAAAUCCCGAUGAAGACGAAGCCAGUGAAUCCCGGUUCACCAAUGCGAGCGCUCACUUGGAGUGCACGCUCGGUGGGCCUGGUGGUGCGUCCCAGCGUCUUGCUAGCGUAGGUGCCCAGCAGGUGUCGAGUGAAUACUGGCUCACCAGGUCGCGAAGGGGGACCCUUCUUAGUCCUGGCUGAUGCGUGUGACGUCUGAGGGCGUGAGUUUGGAAGGCCCCCUGGUGGUGAGCCCUGCAUGUUCCUGUGUCCACGGGGUGUAUGCCCUCUGACUGGAGACCCUUGGCCAUCAUUUCUCUCAGUUUCCCCAGCCCGUUCCCCAUGGGGAGUUGGGGCUCUUCCAGGUGCUUCCGCCCUAAGGUGCCCCUCCCCUGCGCCCUGUGCGAGGAAGUGCAAGUUCUCUAGCUCCUCCGUGCGCCCUGGGACCCCUCUUGUCCUCACCCCAGUGUGUGCCGACGACACAGCCUAACUAAGCUUGGGGUCCCUUUCAGGCUCGAGAGGCGGUCACUGGUGAGAAAGAGCCGAGCGUGGGUGCUGGAGAAGAAGGAGCGGCACAGGCGGCAGGGCAAGGAGGUCAGACCUGACACGCGGUACACCGGCCGCAAGCGCAAGCCCCGCUUCUGAGCAG